rnacentral:rRNA from 1 species
UACAUGGGGUGCAAACGUUGCUCGGAAUUAUUGGGCGUAAAGCGCGCGUAGGCGGUUACUCAAGUCGGAUGUGAAAGCCCUCGGCUUAACUGAGGAAGUGCACCCGAAACUGAGUAGCUAGAGUACUAAAGAGGGUCGCGGAAUUCCCGGUGUAGAGGUGAAAUUCGUAGAUAUCGGGAGGAACACCGGUGGCGAAGGCGGCGACCUGGGACGGUACUGACGCUGAGACGCGAAAGCGUGGGGAGCGAACAGG